rnacentral:rRNA from 1 species
GACGAACGCUGGCGGCGUGCUUAACACAUGCAAGUCGAACGGUAAGGCCCUUCGGGGUACACGAGUGGCGAACGGGUGAGUAACACGUGGGUGAUCUGCCCUGCACUUCGGGAUAAGCCUGGGAAACUGGGUCUAAUACCGGAUAGGACUCCGGACUGCAUGGUCUGGGGUGGAAAGCUUUUGCGGUGUGGGAUGAGCCCGCGGCCUAUCAGCUUGUUGGUGGGGUGAUGGCCUACCAAGGCGACGACGGGUAGCCGGCCUGAGAGGGUGACCGGCCACACUGGGACUGGGAUACGGCACAGACUCCUCCGGGAGGCAGCAGUGGGGAAUAUUGCACAAUGGGCGCAAGCCGGAUGCAGCGACGCCGCGUGAGGGAUGACGGCCUUCGGGUUGUAAACCUCUUUCGGCAUCGACGAAGGGAAAGUGACGGUAGGUGCAGAAGAAGGACCGGCCAACUACGUGCCAGCCGCCGCCGUAA